CGGCGGACGGGUGAGUAACACGUGGGCAACCUGCCGUCAGUAGAGAGGAAUAGCCUUCCGAAAGGGAGAUUAAUACCUCAUAACAUUGCAGUUUCGCAUGGAACAGCAAUUAAAGGAGCAAGUCCGCUAUGAGAUGGGCCCCGCGGCGUCAGUUAGCUAGUUGGUGAGGUAACGGCUCACCAAGGCGACGAUGCGUAGCCGACCUGAGAGGGUGAUCGGCCACAUUGGGACUGAGACACGGCCCAGACUCCUACGGGAGGCAGCAGUGGGGAAUAUUGCACAAUGGGGGAAACCCUGAUGCAAGCAACGCCGCGUGAGUGAUGACGGCCUUCGGGUUGUAAAGCUCUGUCUUCAGGGACGAUAAUGACGGUACCUGAGGAGGAAGCCACGGCUAACUACGUGCCAGCCGCUGC
rnacentral:rRNA from 1 species